rnacentral:rRNA from 1 species
UACGUAGGGUCCGAGCGUUGUCCGGAGUUACUGGGCGUAAAGCGCGCGCAGGCGGCGGUGUAAGCAUGGCGUGAAAGCCCCAGGCUCAACCUGGGAGGGUCGUCGUGGACUGCACCGCUUGAGGGCGGUAGGGGCUGGUGGAAUGCCUGGUGUAGUGGUGAAAUGCGUAGAGAUCAGGCGGAACACCCGUGGCGAAGGCGGCCAGCUGGGCCGUCCCUGACGCUGCGGCGCGAAGGCGUGGGGAGCGAGCGGG